AAAGAAUUAGUUAAACUCAAUAACUUAAAUAUGUCACAUUUAAAUUAUUACCUAUAAGUAAUAUUCUUUU
rnacentral:tRNA from 1 species